GGCGCUAUCGUCUAGUGGUUAGGACAUCAGGUUUUCAUCCUGGCAACAGGGGUUCGAUUCCCCUUAGCGCUACCA
rnacentral:tRNA from 1 species